rnacentral:rRNA from 1 species
AUGAACGCUGGCGGCGUGCCUAAUACAUGCAAGUCGAGCGAACAGACGAGGAGCUUGCUCCUCUGACGUUAGCGGCGGACGGGUGAGUAACACGUGGAUAACCUACCUAUAAGACUGGGAUAACUUCGGGAAACCGGAGCUAAUACCGGAUAAUAUAUUGAACCGCAUGGUUCAAUAGUGAAAGACGGUUUUGCUGUCACUUAUAGAUAGAUCCGCGCCGCAUUAGCUAGUUGGUAAGGUAACGGCUUACCAAGGCAACGAUGCGUAGCCGACCUGAGAGGGUGAUCGGCCACACUGGAACUGAGACACGGUCCAGACUCCUACGGGAGGCAGCAGUAGGGAAUCUUCCGCAAUGGGCGAAAGCCUGACGGAGCAACGCCGCGUGAGUGAUGAAGGUCUUCGGAUCGUAAAACUCUGUUAUUAGGGAAGAACAAAUGUGUUAGUAACUAUGCACGUCUUGACGGUACCUAAUCAGAAAGCCACGGCUAACUACGUG